CGAACAAAACGCCGCUAUUCGGAUAUAACGAUGGAUUAUUUUGGACCAAACCAACAUUUGUUAUUGAAGUAGACGUCCUGGGUGUGCAUUCUGACGAAGACAACAAAAGGAACCAUGUUCGCGUCUUCAGACUGUUUACGGAAACCACCCUGGCUCUCCUCCUGUCCUACUGCCCUGGAAUGGAUGUCGUCUUCAGACUGUUUACGGAAACCACCCUGGCUCUCCUCCUGUCCUACUGCCCUGGAAUGGAUGUCGUCUUCAGAAUAUACCCACUCUAGCCAGUAGACCCUACAGAUUCAGUAUAUCAGCUUGGAACAAAGGCCUUGCUGGUGGUUCUGUGCCUUACCCUACUCUCUGCUCAUCUUCCUCUAUGAUGAAAUACAUCCUGCGACAAAAUUCAGGAGGUUGGGUGGACAAGGAGUAUGAAGGAUCUUGUUUGGAGACUUCUUCCUGGUUAACCUGAUCCUGUGGGUGGAGGGCAGCCAUCCCCUUCGCCGCUCUGGUGGCCAUCUUGGCUUUGAGGUUUGCCAUCUCCAUGCCCUUUACCUUUGUGGGCGCCUAGCCUACUUCGGCUUCAAGAGACCUAAUAAUAGUUCUGCAGGAGGGGUGAAGUCAGGCGCAGGAGACUCAGGUACGUGAAACACGUAGUCAUUUUAAUGAAUGAAAAAACCAGUCCAAAAAUAACAAGCCGAAAAGGCAGGGAAAAAUAUUCCAAUAAAGGAAGACUAACACAGUCUUUUGAAAUAUAUCGGGACGCAGCCCAGCAACCCUAACACCCAAACGAUUAAAUUAUAAAUGGACAGAAAAGAAAAUCCCCCAACCUACAAUAGCAGACACGAAACAAUCCC
rnacentral:lncRNA from 1 species